GCCCCUGUAGCUCAACGGUCAGAGCGGGCGCCUUAUAAGCGCCUGAUCCUGGUUCGAUUCCAGGCAGGGGCA
rnacentral:tRNA from 1 species